UUCCCAUUCUAAGAGUCAUUAUCACAUUCAAUCCACAUAAAGAAUGUUGUUUGUGAAAAAUUCAAACUCAUAAUAUUCUGAAGAAGAUCAAAUCAAAGUAAUUGAUCAAAUGGUUGACAAAAUCGUCACCCAUCAUUUACCAACCACAUUCUUUCACGAUCGGUGGUAUUGACUGCCUGCACUCUGGGAGCGGAAAAUUGCCCUAAUCGCGUGGAAAGGUCAUAUACCAAGGACGUAGCGUGAACGCUAGCCUCUUUCUUGAAGUUGUUGCGAAUUAAGAUCUAUGGAUUUGGCAUUCAUUUUGUGGUUUUAAGGUGAAUGGGCAUGUAUACAUGGGGUACUACCUAACAGAGUAACAAAUGGUAUUUAUCCAAAUUUGACUGUGUUCAUCCAAGGAUUUACUCGUCAUCAACUUGAAAAGCAUAAGUUGUUUGCUGAUACACAAGCACAUGUUCAGAAGGAUGUUGGAAGUGCAUUCGGAGUUUCACGAGUGAGAUCGUCAUUAUACGAAAACCAUCUCUUGCUUACGGUGAAGAUAUUAGGCGACAUAAUGAAGACUUGUAUCAUCAUGCACAACAUGAUAGUUGAGGAUAAACGAGACACGUAUGUCCGAGACGUUUCGAGUUCCAAGUUGGACAUCCUGUCAACAUUAAUGUUUACUUUGGGAGAAGAGUAGCUAUGUGUAACAGUCAAACUCAUCAGUCCCUGAUUUAAUCGAGCACAAUUGGCAAAAAUAUGGAUCGAAUAAUCAUUAAACUCAUGCGCUUAAAUAGAUUUGUCAUUGCAACGCUUGUGUUUGCUUUAACAUAUUUGAAUUUGGUUUUAUGA